rnacentral:rRNA from 1 species
GACGAACGCUGGCGGCGUGCCUAAUACAUGCAAGUUGAACGCUUGAUUUUCACCGAAGCUUGCUUCACCGAAAAUCAAGAGUAGCGAACGGGUGAGUAACGCGUGGGUAACCUACCUUUCAGCGGGGGAUAACUAUUGGAAACGAUAGCUAAUACCGCAUAAUAAUGUUGGAUGCAUAUUCGACAUUUGAAAGUACCAACUGGUACACUGAGAGAUGGACCCGCGUUGUAUUAGCUAGUUGGUAGUGUAAUGGACUACCAAGGCGAUGAUACAUAGCCGACCUGAGAGGGUGAUCGGCCACAUUGGGACUGAGACACGGCCCAAACUCCUACGGGAGGCAGCAGUAGGGAAUCUUCGGCAAUGGACGAAAGUCUGACCGAGCAACGCCGCGUGAGUGAAGAAGGUUUUCGGAUCGUAAAACUCUGUUGUUAGAGAAGAACGUUGCAUAGAGUGGAAAAUUAUGCAAGUGACGGUAUCUAACCAGAAAGGGACGGC